GACGAACGCUGGCGGCGUGCUUAACACAUGCAAGUCGAACGGAAAGGCUCCAGCUUGCUGGAGUACUCGAGUGGCGAACGGGUGAGUAACACGUGGGUAAUCUGCCCUGCACUCUGGGAUAAGCCUGGGAAACUGGGUCUAAUACUGGAUAUGACCUUUCUCCUUAUGGGGUUUGGUGGAAAGUUUUUCGGUGUAGGAUGAGCCCGCGGCCUAUCAGCUUGUUGGUGGGGUGAUGGCCUACCAAGGCGACGACGGGUAGCCGGCCUGGGCGGGUGAGCGGCCACAUUGGGACUGAGAUCCGGCCCGACCUCCUCCGGAGGGCGGCAGGGGGGAAUUUUGCACAAGGGGCGGAAGCCUGAUGCAGCGCCCCCGCGUGAGGGAUGCCGGCCUUCGGUUUGUACACCUCUUUCAGCAGGGACGAAGCGAAAGUGACGGUCCCUGAAAAAGAGACCCCGGCUACCUAUGUC
rnacentral:rRNA from 1 species